CUGGCCUGGGUGGGCACCUGCCCCACUGUGACCAACCAUCAGCAGUGCUGGAAGAAUGGACAUCUGGAUGGGGGCCGAAGCCCAGGGCCCCCUCAGGAAGAACAAAGGGGCCAGUGCUUGGAAAAGGAGGCUUGGGAAGGGAGUAGAAGGGUGGGGUCCCCCAUUCUGCUGUAAUCGGUGCUUUCUGCCCCCUUGCACCCCGCAUGUAGGCUCAGCCCCCUCUCCCCAAAUCCCACUCCAGGGGCAGAAAUCUCCUCUGGCUGCAGCUACUUAGCCAGGUUCUGGGUGGGUAUGAUGGAGGCCAGGUCCCCCCCGCCCCAGCAGCACUGCCCUUGUCACAUUAAGAUGGGGCAGCUGGGAGGUCAGAGGUUCUGUCUCAGGAACUGAGGUCUGGCCUUCUGCGAUCCCAGGCUGAGCCGUGAGUGGUCCACGUAUUCAGAAGACAGCCCCCUGCAGCCCCGGCCUUAGAAGGCUGUCCCAGGUCACACAUCGAGUCAGGGUGAGGCUGUGGUGGAUGGCAUUCCCAUCUGCCCUCUUCAAACCUCUCACCCCCUGGCUUCUGCAGGGUGGAGGCCUGGGUCACACAGGCAAGAGGAAAGGGGUCAACCUGGUGGCUCACUCGGGUUUCCAUGACAGUGGGAAGGGGGGAGGUGGGCAGUGAGGUAGGCACGCAGCCCUCGCAUCUGCUCUCCCCCAUGGGUAGAACCUUCCUGAUUGGCUGUGGGUUGUAUCAAAAGACCUUUGACUGGGUGAGGCUGAGAUGGGUGUGGUGGUUCCAGUGAGUCAGCCAGGUUCCCUUCCCCAGCCCUGGUCCCUGAGGGAGAUGAGGACCGAAAGGCUUAGGUGACUUGAUGGGGAGCACCCUUUCAGGGGCCCUGGAAGAAAUGUUUGUAAUUGUUCUGCUUUUUCCAUGAGCUCUGGAGAGCACCCACCACCAAGCCCCCUGAAACCCACCAGUCCCUACAGCCUGGUCUUUC
rnacentral:lncRNA from 1 species